GCAUUGGUGGUUCAGUGGUAGAAUUCUGACCUUCAUGCAGAAGACCUGGGUUCAAUUCCCCGCCAAUGCA
rnacentral:tRNA from 1 species